rnacentral:rRNA from 1 species
UACGUAGGGUGCGAGCGUUUGUCCGGAAUUACUGGGCGUAAAGAGCUCGUAGGUGGUUUGUCGCGUUGUUCGUGAAAACUCACAGCUCAACUGUGGGCGUGCGGGCGAUACGGGCAGACUGGAGUACUGCAGGGGAGACUGGAAUUCCUGGUGUAGCGGUGGAAUGCGCAGAUAUCAGGAGGAACACCGGUGGCGAAGGCGGGUCUCUGGGCAGUGAACUGACGUGAGGAGCGAAAAGCGUGGGGGAGCGAACAGG